rnacentral:rRNA from 1 species
AUUGAACGCUGGCGGCAGGCCUAACACAUGCAAGUCGAACGAGUGGCGGACGGGUGAGUAAUGUCUGGGAAACUGCCUGAUGGAGGGGGAUAACUACUGGAAACGGUAGCUAAUACCGCAUACCAUCGGAUGUGCCCAGAUGGGAUUAGCUAGUAGGUGGGGUAAAGGCUCACCAAGGCGACGACCCCUAGCUGGUCUGAGAGGAUGACCAGACACACUGGAACGAAGACACGGUCAAGACUCCUACGAGAUGCAGCCGUGGGAGAUAUUGCACAAUGGGCGCAAGCCUGAUGCAGCCAUGCCGCGGGUAUGAAGAAGGCCUGCGGGUUGUAAAGUACUUUAAGCGGGGAGGCGUUACCCGCAGAAGAAGCACCGGCUAACUCCGUGCCAGCCGCCGCGGUAAUUC